GACGCAACGCGAAGAACCUUACCAAGGUUUGACAUCACCCGGAAACAUGCAGAGAUGUGUGCCUCUUCGGACUGGGUGACAGGUGGUGCAUGGCUGUCGUCAGCUCGUGUCGUGAGAUGUUGGGUUAAGUCCCGCAACGAGCGCAACCCUUGUUCCAUGUUGCCAGCAGCGCCUUCGGGUGGCUGGGGACUCAUGGGAGACUGCCGGGGUCAACUCGGAGGAAGGUGGGGAUGACGUCAAGUCAUCAUGCCCCUUAUGUCUUGGGCUGCAAACAUGCUACAAUGGCCGGUACAGAGGGUUGCGAUACCGCGAGGUGGAGCGAAUCCCUAAAAGCCGGUCUCAGUUCGGAUUGGGGUCUGCAACUCGACCCCAUGAAGUCGGAGUCGCUAGUAAUCGCAGAUCAGCAACGCUGCGGUGAAUACGUUCCCGGGCCUUGUACACACCGCCCGUCACGUCACGAAAGUCGGCAACACCCGAAGCCCGUGGCCCAACUCGCAAGAGGGGAGCGUCGAAGUGGCCGCA
rnacentral:rRNA from 1 species